AUAUGCAGCCACACCCCCCUGAGAACAGCCCAUCUCAUGUGAUGUGGGAAGCUAAGCAGGGUCGGCCCCGGUCAGCACUUGGAUGGGAGACCAGCUGGCUCCACCUCCUCUGGGUGCUCCUGCUC
rnacentral:rRNA from 1 species